rnacentral:rRNA from 1 species
UUGAAGAGUUUGAUCAUGGCUCAGAUUGAACGCUGGCGGCAGGCCUAACACAUGCAAGUCGAGCGGUAGCACAGAGAGCUUGCUCUCGGGUGACGAGCGGCGGACGGGUGAGUAAUGUCUGGGAAACUGCCUGAUGGAGGGGGAUAACUACUGGAAACGGUAGCUAAUACCGCAUAACGUCGCAAGACCAAAGUGGGGGACCUUCGGGCCUCAUGCCAUCAGAUGUGCCCAGAUGGGAUUAGCUAGUAGGUGGGGUAACGGCUCACCUAGGCGACGAUCCCUAGCUGGUCUGAGAGGAUGACCAGCCACACUGGAACUGAGACACGGUCCAGACUCCUACGGGAGGCAGCAGUGGGGAAUAUUGCACAAUGGGCGCAAGCCUGAUGCAGCCAUGCCGCGUGUAUGAAGAAGGCCUUCGGGUUGUAAAGUACUUUCAGCGGGGAGGAAGGCGAUAAGGUUAAUAACCUUGUCGAUUGACGUUACCCGCAGAAGAAGCACCGGCUAACUCCGUGCCAGCAGCCGCGGUAAUACGGAGGGUGCAAGCGUUAAUCGGAAUUACUGGGCGUAAAGCGCACGCAGGCGGUCUGUCAAGUCGGAUGUGAAAUCCCCGGGCUCAACCUGGGAACUGCAUUCGAAACUGGCAGGCUAGAGUCUUGUAGAGGGGGGUAGAAUUCCAGGUGUAGCGGUGAAAUGCGUAGAGAUCUGGAGGAAUACCGGUGGCGAAGGCGGCCCCCUGGACAAAGACUGACGCUCAGGUGCGAAAGCGUGGGGAGCAAACAGGAUUAGAUACCCUGGUAGUCCACGCCGUAAACGAUGUCGAUUUGGAGGUUGUGCCCUUGAGGCGUGGCUUCCGGAGCUAACGCGUUAAAUCGACCGCCUGGGGAGUACGGCCGCAAGGUUAAAACUCAAAUGAAUUGACGGGGGCCCGCACAAGCGGUGGAGCAUGUGGUUUAAUUCGAUGCAACGCGAAGAACCUUACCUGGUCUUGACAUCCACAGAACUUAGCAGAGAUGCUUUGGUGCCUUCGGGAACUGUGAGACAGGUGCUGCAUGGCUGUCGUCAGCUCGUGUUGUGAAAUGUUGGGUUAAGUCCCGCAACGAGCGCAACCCUUAUCCUUUGUUGCCAGCGGUUAGGCCGGGAACUCAAAGGAGACUGCCAGUGAUAAACUGGAGGAAGGUGGGGAUGACGUCAAGUCAUCAUGGCCCUUACGACCAGGGCUACACACGUGCUACAAUGGCAUAUACAAAGAGAAGCGACCUCGCGAGAGCAAGCGGACCUCAUAAAGUAUGUCGUAGUCCGGAUUGGAGUCUGCAACUCGACUCCAUGAAGUCGGAAUCGCUAGUAAUCGUAGAUCAGAAUGCUACGGUGAAUACGUUCCCGGGCCUUGUACACACCGCCCGUCACACCAUGGGAGUGGGUUGCAAAAGAAGUAGGUAGCUUAACCUUCGGGAGGGCGCUUACCACUUUGUGAUUCAUGACUGGGGUGAAGUCGUAACAAGGUAACCGUAGGGGAACCUGCGGUUGGAUCACCUCCUU